CUCGGGGGUCAGCCCGUCCUGUGUCCACACCAUGGGGUCCGCACUCCUCUGGGCCUCCCUUCUCAUCGCUGUCAAAGGUGUCCUGUGCCAAGUCCAGCUGGUGGAGUCUGGGGGAGGCUUGGUGCAGCCCGCGGGGUCCCUGAGCCUCUCCUGCAAAGCCUCUGGAUUCACCUUCACUGACUACAGCAUGGACUGGGUCCGCCAGGCUCCAGGGAAGGGGCUGGAGUGGGUGGCACAAGUGAGCCAACCAUCUGGAGAUAAACAGUGGUACGCGCCAUCCGUUCAAGGAAGAUUCACAAUCUCCAGGGACAACCCUACGAGCACAGUCUCUCUUAAAAUGACCAACCUGAAAUCUGAGGACACGGCCGUGUAUUACUGUGUGAGACACAGUGAGGGGAAGUCAGUGUGA